GGACCGGUGGUGUAGUGGUAACACAUUGCGUCCAGACGUGAACAGGAAUGGUUCGAUUCCCGCCUGGUCCA
rnacentral:tRNA from 1 species